rnacentral:rRNA from 1 species
AUUGAACGCUGGCGGCAGGCCUAACACAUGCAAGUCGAACGAGUGGCGGACGGGUGAGUAAUGUCUGGGAAACUGCCUGAUGGAGGGGGAUAUAUACUGGAAACGGUAGCUAAUACCGCAAACCAACGGGUGUGCCCAGAUGGGAUUAGCUAGUAGGUGGGGUAACGGCUCACCUAGGCGACGAUCCCUAGCGGGUCUGAGAGGAUGACCAGCCACACUGGAACUGAGACACGGUCCAGACUCCUACGGGAGGCAGCAGUGGGGAAUAUUGCGCAAUGGGCGCAAGCCUGAUGCAGCCAUGCCGCGUGUAUGAAGAAGGCCUUCGGGUUGUAAAGUACUGUCAGCGGGGAGGCGUUACCCGCAGAAGAAGCACCGGCUAACUCCGUGCCAGCAGCCGCGGUAAUAC